AACGAACGCUGGCGGCAUGCCUAACACAUGCAAGUCGAACGAUACCUUCGGGUCUAGUGGCGCACGGGUGCGUAACGCGUGGGAACCUGCCCUUAGGUUCGGAAUAACUCCCCGAAAGGGGUGCUAAUACCGGAUAAUGUCUUCGGACCAAAGAUUUAUUGCCUUUGGAUGGGCCCGCGUUGGAUUAGCUAGUUGGUAGGGUAAAAGCCUACCAAGGCGACGAUCCAUAGCUGGUCUGAGAGGAAGAUCAGCCACACUGGGACUGGGACACGGCCCAGACUCCUACGGGAGGAAGCAGUGGGGAAUAUUGGACAAUGGGCGAAAGCCUGAUCCAGCAAUGCCGCGUGAGUGAUGAAGGCCUUAGGGUUGUAAAGCUCUUUUACCCGGGAUGAUAAUGACAGUACCGGGAGAAUAAGCGCCGGCUAACUCCGUG
rnacentral:rRNA from 1 species